rnacentral:rRNA from 1 species
UAAAGAGAUCUUUUGUUAGUCCUAGAAACACUAACGAAUAAGGGGUGGGCAAGUUCUGGUGUCAGCCGCCGCGGUAAAACCAGCACCUCAAGUGGUCAGGAUGAUUAUUGGGCCUAAAGCAUCCGUAGCCGGCUCUGUAAGUUUUCGGUUAAAUCUGUACGCUCAACGUACAGGCUGCCGGGAAUACUGCAAAACUAGGGAGUGGGAAAGGUAGACGGUACUCGGUAGGAAGUGGUAAAAUGCUUUGAUCUAUCGAUGACCACCUGUGGCGAAGGCGGUCUACCAGAACACGUCCGACGGUGAGGGAUGAAAGCUGGGGGAGCAAACCGGAUUAAAUACCCGGGUAGUCCCAGCUGUAAACUAUGCAAACUCAGUGAUGCAUUGGCUUGUGGCCAAUGCAGUGCUGCAGGGAAGCCGUUAAGUUUGCCGCCUGGGAAGUACGUACGCAAGUAUGAAACUUAAAGGAA